rnacentral:rRNA from 1 species
AUUGAACGCUGGCGGCAGGCCUAACACAUGCAAGUCGAGCGGAUGAAGGGAGCUUGCUCCUGGAUUCAGCGGCGGACGGGUGAGUAAUGCCUAGGAAUCUGCCUGGUAGUGGGGGAUAACGUCCGGAAACGGGCGCUAAUACCGCAUACGUCCUGAGGGAGAAAGUGGGGGAUCUUCGGACCUCACGCUAUCAGAUGAGCCUAGGUCGGAUUAGCUAGUUGGUGGGGUAAAGGCCUACCAAGGCGACGAUCCGUAACUGGUCUGAGAGGAUGAUCAGUCACACUGGAACUGAGACACGGUCCAGACUCCUACGGGAGGCAGCAGUGGGGAAUAUUGGACAAUGGGCGAAAGCCUGACCCAGCCAUGCCGCGUGUGUGAAGAAGGUCUUCGGAUUGUAAAGCACUUUAAGUUGGGAGGAAGGGCAGUAAGUUAAUACCUUGCUGUUUUGACGUUACCAACAGAAUAAGCACCGGCUAACUUCGU